GUAGGGAAUAUUGGGCAAUGGUCGGAAGACUGACCCAGCCAUGCCGCGUGCAGGAAGACGGCCCUCUGGGUUGUAAACUGCUUUUAUCUGGGAAAAAAAAGGCCAUGCGUGGCAAAUUGCCGGUACCAGAUGAAUAAGCACCGGCUAACUCCGUGCCAGCAGCCGCGGUAAUACGGAGGGUGCGAGCGUUGUCCGGAUUUAUUGGGUUUAAAGGGUGCGUAGGCGGCUGAUUAAGUCAGCGGUGAAAGACUUCGGCUUAACCGGAGCAGUGCCGUUGAUACUGGUUGGCUUGAGUGUCGGAGGGGUACAUGGAAUUGAUGGUGUAGCGGUGAAAUGCAUAGAUACCAUCAGGAACACCGAUAGCGAAGGCAUUGUACUGGCCGACAACUGACGCUGAUGCACGAAAGUGUGGGGAUCGAACAGGAUUAGAAACCCGUGUAGUCC
rnacentral:rRNA from 1 species